GACGAACGCUGGCGGCGUGCCUAAUACAUGCAAGUAGAACGCUGAAGGAGGAGCUUGCUUCUCUGGAUGAGUUGCGAACGGGUGAGUAACGCGUAGGUAACCUGCCUGGUAGUGGGGGAUAACUAUUGGAAACGAUAGCUAAUACCGCAUAAUAGCAGUUGUUGCAUGAUAACUGUUUGAAAGGUGCAAUUGCACCGCUACCAGAUGGACCUGCGUUGUAUUAGCUAGUUGGUGGGGUAACGGCUCACCAAGGCGACGAUACAUAGCCGACCUGAGAGGGUGAUCGGCCACACUGGGACUGAGACACGGCCCAGACUCCUACGGGAGGCAGCAGUAGGGAAUCUUCGGCAAUGGACGGAAGUCUGACCGAGCAACGCCGCGUGAGUGAAGAAGGUUUUCGGAUCGUAAAGCUCUGUUGUAAGAGAAGAACGAGUGUGGGAGUGGAAAGUUCACACUGUGACGGUAUCUUACCAGAAAGGGACGGCUAACUACGUG
rnacentral:rRNA from 1 species